rnacentral:rRNA from 1 species
UACGUAGGGGGCAAGCGUUGUCCGGAAUCAUUGGGCGUAAAGCGCGUGUAGGCGGCUCGAUAAGUCUGUUCUGAAAGUCCAGGGCUCAACCCUGGGAUGCGGAUGGAUACUGUCGAGCUCGAGUCCGGAAGAGGCGAGUGGAAUUCCUGGUGUAGCGGUGAAAUGCGCAGAUAUCAGGAGGAACACCAAUGGCGAAGGCAGCUCGCUGGGACGUGACUGACGCUGAGACGCGAAAGCGUGGGGAGCGAACAGG